rnacentral:miRNA from 1 species
AUUGGUGUGAAGGGAGCUCCU